AUACUUGCCUGAUAGGAGUGAUACCAUGAUCAUGAAGAUGAUUUUCCCAGGAUAAGGCUUAUCCAUUGCACUCCAGAUAUGGGGGGGAAAAGAUGACCCAUCUAGAGCUGGCUCACAUUUAUUCUCAGGCUUUUGAUUCUGCAGUAACUGCUGCACACUGCAC
rnacentral:snRNA from 1 species